GAUCCUGGCUCAGAACGAACGUUGGCGGCGUGGAUUAGGCAUGCAAGUCGUACGGGACUUGGGGGCAACUCCAGGUUCAGUGGCGAACGGGUGAGUAACGCGUGGGAAACCUGCCCUCGAGAUCGGGAUAACACUCCCAACGGGGUGCUAAUACCGUAUAAGACCACGGAAUCGCAUGGUUCCGAGGUCAGAGGUGGCCUCUACUUGUAAGCUACCGCUUGGGGAUGGUCCCGCGUCUGAUUAGCUUGUUGGUGGGGUAACGGCCCACCAAGGCGACGAUCAGUAGCUGGUCUGAGAGGAUGGUCAGCCACACUGGGACUGAGAUACGGCCCAGACUCCUACGGGAGGCAGCAGUCGAGAGGCUUCGGCAAUGGGGGAAACCCUGACCGAGCGACGCCGCGUGGGCGAUGAAGGCCGUUAGGUUGUAAAGCCCUGUCGAGCGGGAAGAAUCGCAGGUGGGCAAACAGUCCAUCUGCUUGACGGUACCGCCAAAGGAAGCUCCGGCCAACUCCGUGCCAGCCGCCGC
rnacentral:rRNA from 1 species